GCAAGAUACCACGGGCGCACGGCGGAUGCCUUGGCACAGGGAGCCGAUGAAGGACGCGGCAAGCUGCGAUAAUCCCCGGCGAGGAGCACACAUCCUUCGACCCGGGGGUCUCCGAAUGGGCGAACCCAUCCACAGCAGUGUGGAUAUCCCCACCCCGAACACAUAGGGGUGGGGAGGACAACCCGGGGAACUGAAACAUCUAAGUACCCGGAGGAGAGGAAAUCAAUCUCGAGACUCCCCGAGUAGCGGCGAGCGAAAGGGGACCGAUGGCCAAACCGUCGAGCGGGCAUACCCGGCAGGGGUUCCGCCGACGGGGUUGCAGGGCCGCGCAUCCGGGGGCUGCCGCCCCCGGGCGCAGGUCCGGCUGGGGAGCGGAACGGCAUGGGAGGGCCGGCCGCAGCGGGUGACAGCCCCGUACGCGAACCCAGACCGGACGGCGCGACGCGGUCCCUGAGUAGGGCCGGGCACGUGAAACCCGGUCCGAACCUGGGUGGACCACCAUCCAAGCCUGAGUACUACCCUGUGACCGAUAGCGCACCAGUACCGUGAGGGAAAGGUGAAAAGCACCCCGGGAGGGGAGUGAAACAGUACCUGAAACCGUGCGCCCACGAGCAGUCGGAGCACCUUUAUGGUGUGACGGCGUGCCUUUUGUAGAAUGAGCCAGCGAGUCGCUGGCGCGGGGCGAGGUUAACCGAAAGGGAGCCGAAGCGAAAGCGAGCCUUAACAGGGCGACUUGAGUCCCGCGCCGCGGACGCGAAGCCGGGUGAGCUAUCCGUGGGCAGGCUGAAGCGGGGGUAAGACCCCGUGGAGGGCCGAACGCACGUCGGUUGAAAACGGCGGCGAUGACCUGCGGAUAGGGGUGAAAGGCCAAUCAAACCCGGAGAUAUCUCGUUCUCCCCGAAAUAGCUUUAGGGCUAGCGUCGCGCGUUCACCGCCGGAGGUAGAGCACCGGAUGGACGAGGGGGCUUCGCCGCCUACCGAAUCCAACCGAACUCCGAAUGCCGGCGGCCCAGAGCGCGGCAGUCAGAGCAUGUGGGCUAAGCUGUGUGCUCGAGAGGGAAACAGCCCGGACCGCCCGCUAAGGUCCCCAAGUUCCAGCCGAGUGGCAAAGGAUGUGCGUCCGCCCAGACAACCAGGAUGUUGGCUUAGAAGCAGCCAUCCAUUCAAAGAGUGCGUAACAGCUCACUGGUCGAGUGGACAUGCGCCGACAAUACACGGGGCUAAGCUGGACACCGAAGCGGCGGGAUUUUGAUUUUCAGAAUCGGUAGGGGAGCUUCCCAUGGGCGGAGAAGCCGGAGGGCGACCGACGGUGGAGCGCAUGGGAGUGAGAAUGCUGGCAUGAGUAGCGAGAGACGAGAGAGUAACUCGUCCGCCGUGAACCCGAGGUUUCCUGGGCAAGGCUAAUCCUCCCAGGGUCAGUCGGGGGCUAAGGCGAGGCCGGUAGGCGUAGCCGACGCGCAGCAGGCAGACAUUCCUGCACCGCGCACGCGGCGCUACGACCGACGGGGCGACGGAUGGGGGUGGCUCGGCGGGGUUCUGGACGUCCCCGUGAUGGAGCGCGGCCCGCGGACCAGGGAAAUCCGGUCCGCAGAAGGGCGAGGCUCCGGACGAAGCGACUGAGCGAAGCGAGUGAGCCCGAGGUCCCUAGAAAAACCCCUAGGCAGGCGCGUGCGCGCCCGUACCGCAAACCGACACAGGUGGGUGGGUAGAACAUACCGAGGCGAUCGGGUCAACCAUGGUCAAGGAACUCGGCACAAUGGCCCCGUAACUUCGGGAGAAGGGGUGCCCGCGCGUACGUGAACCGGCUUGCCCGGGGAGCGGAGGCGGGCCGCAGUGGAGAGGCCCAAGCGACUGUUUACCAAAAACACAGGACUCUGCAGAAGCCGCAAGGCGACGUAUAGGGUCUGACGCCUGCCCGGUGCCGGAAGGUCACGCGGAGGAGUUAGCCGUAUCGGCGAAGCCCCGAAGCCAAGCCCCGGUAAACGGCGGCCGUAACUAUAACGGUCCUAAGGUAGCGAAAUUCCUUGUCAGGUAAG
rnacentral:rRNA from 1 species